AGUCAAUCCAGGGCAAAAGUAUGGCCGGUGAACUCCGCCAGGUCGGGAACGAAGCAACGGUAACUGAGUCUGCUUUGUGCUUUUGGAUUGGCUACC
rnacentral:SRP_RNA from 3 species